rnacentral:rRNA from 1 species
UAAACGACUCUCGGCACCGGAUAUCUCGGCUCGCGCAUCGAUGAAGAACGUAGCAAAAUGCGAUACUUGUUGUGAAYUCCAGAAUCCCGUGAACCAUCGAGUUUUUGMRCGCAAGUUGCGCCCGAACCCAUUCCGCCGAGGCCWCGUCUCCCUGGGCGCCCCGC